GGUGAACGCUGGCGGCGUGCCUAAUACAUGCAAGUAGAACGCUGAAGGAGGAGCUUGCUCUUUCCGGAUGAGUUGCGAACGGGUGAGUAACGCGUAGGUAACCUGCCUGGUAGCGGGGGAUAACUAUUGGAAACGAUAGCUAAUACCGCAUAACAGUAGAUAUUGCAUGAUAUUUGCUUGAAAGGGGCAAUUGCUCCACUACCAGAUGGACCUGCGUUGUAUUAGCUAGUUGGUGAGGUAACGGCUCACCAAGGCGACGAUACAUAGCCGACCUGAGAGGGUGAUCGGCCACACUGGGACUGAGACACGGCCCAGACUCCUACGGGAGGCAGCAGUAGGGAAUCUUCGGCAAUGGACGGAAGUCUGACCGAGCAACGCCGCGUGAGUGAAGAAGGUUUUCGGAUCGUAAAGCUCUGUUGUAAGAGAAGAACGAGUGUGAGAGUGGAAAGUUCACACUGUGACGGUAUCUUACCAGAAAGGGACGGCUAACUACGUG
rnacentral:rRNA from 1 species